rnacentral:rRNA from 1 species
AGCGGCGGACGGGUGAGUAACACGUGGAUAACCUACCUAUAAGACUGGGAUAACUUCGGGAAACCGGAGCUAAUACCGGAUAACAUGUUGAACCGCAUGGUUCAACAGUGAAAGACGGUCUUGCUGUCACUUAUAGAUGGAUCCGCGCCGCAUUAGCUAGUUGGUAAGGUAACGGCUUACCAAGGCAACGAUGCGUAGCCGACCUGAGAGGGUGAUCGGCCACACUGGAACUGAGACACGGUCCAGACUCCUACGGGAGGCAGCAGUAGGGAAUCUUCCGCAAUGGGCGAAAGCCUGACGGAGCAACGCCGCGUGAGUGAAGAAGGUCUUCGGAUCGUAAAACUCUGUUAUUAGGGAAGAACAAAUGUGUAAGUAACUAUGCACGUCUUGACGGUACCUAAUCAGAAAGCCACGGCU